ACAACCUCGGAAUCACCAAUACCCACAGAUUCCGACAAGCAGCAGCAGAGCCCAUCCCGUGGCCGCUGUCCUUUCUCCUCCCCAUCUGCUGCCAGCUCCCCGUGGCUGCCUGCACUUGCUGCACCUGGCUGCCAGGGAAUAGCUGCUGACAUGUCCCUGCCCCCUCAGCCCCCCUGAGGUAUCCAGACUCCAUCGUGUGUGUGGUGGGCUUCAUCCCAUUUGGAGCACAGCAGAUGGGCAGCGCCACAGUCCAGGUGAGGUGCCCUCAUAUAUUUUGUAUUUCUGCAGCAGAGUGGGGACACUGGGUUUAACUUGUUUAGUGUUCCCACAUGGACUUUGCAUCUGCUCUUUUGGCUGUGCCAGGGCUGUGUGCUUCAUCACCCAAGACCGCAAAUGGGUGCUGUGUUCAUUGUUGGUGCCCAAUCACAUCUUAAAGUACAUAAAGCAAUUGAUUGAAGCUGUUUCACAAGCAGCACAACCAAUAAUCCUUUUUCCCCCAGGGAUUUAUGAUCUCCUCACUACAGCAAUCCCAAUCUCCUACCUAUGCCCUGUGAUGCUUCCAUUAGAGCCCAACAAUCCCAGUGCUGCAUUUCCAGCUCCCAGUAUGCCUCCCUGAUCUCUGUCAUGGUACCACCAGCUCCUCCAUGUACCUUCUGGGUUCUGCCUAUCACAGUGCCUUGGCUUUCUUCUGUGUCCCUGUGACCUCCCUAUAAUUCCCUGUCUCUCUUCCAUGGUGCCCCCCAAGCCUGUUGGAUUGCCAUUUAGGCAAGGUUAGUCUGGGUGGAUCAUGUAGAUAGCUGCUGGCAUCAGACUCAGCAGCUGGGUGUGUGACUCCUCUUGGUGGCCUUGAGAGGGAAUGGAGACAGUGUCAUCUAUCUGUCCACAAACUCCCACAGACCUUCUAGGGACUUUGUACCUCCAAGAGAUUUGUCUCUGCCAGAUUUUGUUGACCAUUGUCAAAACCUCAGAGCUGUGAAUGUUGACUAAGGGGCAGCAUGACCAUGUUAAUUGAAUUCCAUAGAAAGAUGUGUACAUGGGAUUCUGCAUCUCCUGGGUGGAAUUGGACCUGUUGCUUGGAGCCUCCUAGGUCUGCUCAGCCUAUGAGUUAUAGGUGAACCUGUGGAAUGGACCUGGGUUUAUCUAGCAGGAAGGUCUGUCUUUGUGAAGUGCACUGCCUGGAGAGGGCAGCUUUGAAGUGCUGAUUGGCACUGGCUUUAUUGUUAUAACCAUAUAGAGUGUUUUUGUGCUCAGAUCGCUUCUGGACACACAACAAAGGGCAAGGAAGCAAACAAAUGGAGUGCUGUGGGAACAAGUUAAAUGGAUCACCAUGUGGGGAGUUCCAAUCUCAACAUCACCUGCUAAUUUCCCGUUUCUCUAGGGGCUCAUUAUUCCUGCCUGGAAAAGUCAGGGUGGAAACUCAGCUCUCAACUACACAGGACCUCUGUGCUGAGUUGAAGCAAAGGAAGGUGUUUCUGCAGAGAAAUGUCCCCAGGAUGCAAACACAUUGGUUGUACCUCAUCAGAACCAAACAGGUUUGAUUUUACUGAGACCAGUGCAGCGUAGCAAGGUGGAUUUGCUCUGUGUCGAUCUGCUGUAAAUAAAUUUGCUUCUUUUUGGAAGAAA